UGGGGAAUAUUGCACAAUGGGCGCAAGCCUGAUGCAGCCAUGCCGCGUGUAUGAAGAAGGCCUUCGGGUUGUAAAGUACUUUCAGCGAGGAGGAAGGUGUUGUGGUUAAUAACCGCAGCAAUUGACGUUACUCGCAGAAGAAGCACCGGCUAACUCCGUGCCAGCAGCCGCGGUAAUACGGAGGGUGCAAGCGUUAAUCGAUAAUCUGGGCGUAAAGCGCACGCAGGCGGUCUGUCAAGUCGGAUGUGAAAUCCCCCGGGCUCAACCUGGGAACUGCAUCCGAAACUGGCAGGCUAGAGUCUUGUAGAGGGGGUAGG
rnacentral:rRNA from 1 species